CAAACUGGAUUAGGGUGUGCUCACUCAGCCCCAGCGAGGAGAGAAGCAGUCACAUGUGUCUUGUCUAUCCAAGCUUGUGGUCCAAGUGUUUAAAUUGUUUCAACAGUGUCCUGCUGGGUUAUUUGACCAUUUCACUGCAAACGGUAGAGACCAAAUUACAUUUGAAAAGGGGAUCAAUGAUGCGGUAAUCUUGCCUCGCUCGGAUGACAAAAGUUCUAAUUGUGCCUACUAUAAGUGUCCUGUCUGGCUGGUCCUGGAUAUUGAGUUAGUGUGGCUUUAGUGGAGUUGAAGGUGUGUGUGAAGAAUGGGUGUCUGGAUAUUGAGUCAGUGUUGAAGGUGUGUGUGAGGAAUGGGUGUCUGGAUAUCGAGUCAGUGUUGAAGGUGUGUGUGAUGAAUGGGAGUCUGGAUAUUGAGUCAGUGUUGAAGGUGUGUGUGAGGAAUGGGUGUCUGGAUAUUGAGUCAGUGUUGAAGGUGUGUGUGAGGAAUGGGUGUCUGGAUAUUGAGUCAGUGUUGAAGGUGUGUGUGAGGAAUGGGUGUCUGGAUAUUGAGUCAGUGUUGAAGGUGUGUGUGAGGAAUGGGUGUCUGGAUAUUGAGUCAGUGUUGAAGGUGUGUGUGAGGAAUGGGUGUCUGGAUAUUGAGUCAGUGUUGAAGGUGUGUGUGAGGAAUGGGUGUCUGGAUAUUGAGUCAGUGUUGGAAGGUGUGUGUGAGGAAUGGGUGUCUGGUUGCUCAUCUA